rnacentral:rRNA from 1 species
UACGGGGGGAGCAAGCGUUGUUCGGAUUUACUGGGCGUAAAGGGCGCGUAGGCGGCGUGACAAGUCACUUGUGAAAUCUCCGGGCUUAACUCGGAGCGGCCAAGUGAUACUGUCGUGCUAGAGUGCGGAAGGGACUACUGGAAUUCUCGGUGUAGCGGUGAAAUGCGUAGAUAUCGAGAGGAACACCUGCGGCGAAGGCGGGUAGCUGGGCCGACACUGACGCUGAGGCGCGAAAGCUAGGGGAGCGAACGGG